CACUUACUCCCUCAGUCCAACAAAAGAUGUUUCAAAUUUGUCAAAAUUUAGAUGUAUCUAGAUGUGACCUAGUGUAUAGAUACAUUCAAAUUUAGUCAAAGUUUUGACAUUCUUUAUUGGAAGGAGUGAGUAUGCA
rnacentral:pre_miRNA from 1 species